GCGAGCCAGAGCACGAGACGCUGCUACGGCAGAGGAAACUCCUCCCUCCAUACAGGAAAUGUGAUCUGGAGAUAGAUGAUCAGAGAUGGUCGGCAACAGUGCAGAAAAAAUCCAACUUGGAGCACAAUGAUGGUGUAAGCCUGAGAUUGCCAAGAAAGGAAUGAAAAACUGUCCCACAUGGAGCAAAGCCAAACAGAACUUUAGGUUCCUGUACUUAGUUCAGGUAGGCUGCAAAGCGAAAUAUCGUGAGAACAAAAGGAGGGUUACUACUGGCACGC
rnacentral:RNase_P_RNA from 1 species